GAUAGCUACUCUUUGGUCAGCUAGUUAGCGAUGGCUACUCUUUGACCAGCUAGCUAGUGACGGCUACCCUUUGGUCAGCUAGCUAGCGAUGGCUUCUCUUUGGUCAUCUAGUUAGCCUUGAAGUCAGCCUCGUUAGCGAUAGCUACUCUUUGGUCAGCUAGUUAGCGAUAGCUACUCUUUGGUCAGCUAGUUAGCCUUGAAGUUAGCCUCGCUCAAGGGCACCUGUGCGGAGUGCGGUAUCUGAUCUUAAGGCCAUUUCCUUAUCCAUUAGAAGUCAGCCUCGUUAGCCUCGCUCAAGGGCAGAGGUAAAGGUGGGUUUCGAACCUGCAGCCCUCUGAUCUGAUUUCCAUUAGACCACAGCUGCCCACGGUGUGGUAUGUUUCUCAUAGAUGUUGUGUUAGCGCCACCUACAGGGUAAUGUGCGUAUCGCCUCGUGUCUGAUUGAUGGCAGUAAUAUACCGGCCAAACAUGGCGGCCAUCUGACUUCAGCCACUCGUUUCUAUAUAAAACACAGUAUCUAUCUAGUGCUCAACACAGUAUCUAGUGAUCAUAGCUAUAAGCACAGGCUGAACAGCUACUCUUGAUAGCAACUCUGAUAGCUACUCUUGGGUCAUAUGGGCUGAUUAGCGAUAGCUGCUCUUGGGUCAUACAGGCUGAUUAGCGAUAGCUACAGUACAAGGUGAGGCCUGCUCUUUUGGUUUUGUUUCGCUUGUUGCUUCUUUAUUUCGUUUUUUUAUUGUCUUUUUUGUUUUUUUGGUAUGUUCUGUUUUUGCGUAUUUGUUUUCUGUGAUGUGCCUACAGCUUUCAUGUUACACCAUCCGUGGCCCCCAAAACCUCCUCAACCUCUGGAGUGUAGAAACCAGAAGCUCCAAAACCAGAAGCUCCGCAGUGAAGUUUCUUGAUACACGUAGACGAGUAGGAGCUCAGGUCAUGUGACGAGGAAGAGCUCAGGUCAUGUGACGAGGAAGAGCUCAGGUCAUGUGACGAGGAAGAGCUCAGGUCAUGUGACGAGAGUAGGAGCUCAGGUCAUGUGACGAGAGUAGGAGCUCAAGAGCUAAAAUAGGAGAUCAGACAACAGAGUAGCGUAACUGUGAAUGGAGUGAAGCCGAGGUGUAGCUCGAACAGCAAGAUAAACUAUGGUGGCCCCUUUGGGUCACUCAGUGCCCACACCCACACCCACACCCACCCAUAACCCACACACACACACAUACACACAAACACAUACACACCCACACCCACCCAUAACCCACACAUGCACACAAACACAUACACACUGCUGUUUUGAAGACAAUAUCCAGGACAAGACAUUAUACACACACACAAACACAGUCAAGUUUUUGUUUGUUGUUAUUCUUUGAAAUUGAUUUGCGAAGACACACCAUCAUGUUUUAUCAUGUAUUUGCAAAUACACACCAUCAUGUUUUAUCAUGUAUUUGUUAUUUGUUUUCUUUUAAAGACAUCAUCAUGCUUGCUUUUUCGUUGUUAGUUUUUUUGAGAUUUGAUGUUGAUUGGAUAACAGACUGAAAGGUUUGCCUGGAGGGCGGGGCCCUCGUGAUUUACCCAGAAUGCUUUGUGUUUUUACCCAGAAUGCUUUGACUUUUCCUUUGGAAUGCAGCAGCUGUGAUGAUGCGAACUGUGGAGUAUUGGUAACAUUUUACUUGACGCUGGUGUCCCAGGUAUGGCAUGACAGUUUCAUAACAGUGUCGUAAGGUAGUCAUGUAUGCGUCAUAAACAUUAUGUCAAUGUCAUGAACAUUAUAUGACAUUCAGUUAUGGUAAAGACAGCCCAAACAAUGUCAACUUUUCAUGACCAUAAACAUUGACAUCAUGUUUAUCACUCGUCCAAGAUUGUCACGUGUUAUGUCAUGCAUAUGACACCAGCAUCAAGUAAAGUGUAACCGUAGUUUCUUUUGAUUUUUUGUUUGUUUUUUGUGUGUUUUUGUUUUUUGUGUAUUGGGAACUGAAGGCAAACUGACAUUAAAGCUGCAGAUGCAAAUUCA